rnacentral:rRNA from 1 species
GCCCACAAUUAUACAACCCUCCAAUUUAAAAUAAUAAAACAAAUAUACACAUUCUAAUAAAAUAGUACAGAAAUGGAAACAAUAAUAAAUAAAAGUAAAUAUUAAAAACUGUACCUUGUGCAUUAUGGUUUUACAAGAAAAUAAUUAAAUACCCUAAUCCCGAAUUCUAAAUGAGAUGUUAAACUGCUGCUACGAACCCAUUAAUAACUGUUGAAAAAGUUUUAAAAGACAGUUUAACAGAGGCUACAUACCAUCCGCAUAAGAAUAUAGCUGGUUUUCAACAAACAUUAUAAAUUAAAACAUAUAAUUAUAUUAUAGUGUAAUAUUAUUGAGGAUAAGCCCAAUAAUCCAAGCAAUAACUUAAUAAAUCUAUUUUAUUUUAUAGGCCUAAAAUCAGCCAACUAAAAUACUUUACCGUAGAAAGCACAGAUAAAAUACAUAUAUCUACAUGCCGAAGAAAGUUGAAAUGGGGGAUGAACUAAAACUCCUCCUAUAAUAUGUAAAAAUAAGUAUUUAAAUAUAUAAUAAUAAUUAACUAGAAAUAAACAUAAUAUAAUAAUUAUAAUAAUUAAUUAAGGAACUCGGCAAACUAUUAUUUCGACUGUUUAACAAAAACAUUGUCUCAUGUACAAAAUAUGAGAUAAUACCUGCCCAGUGACAAAAAUGUUCAACGGCCGCGGUAUCCUAACCGUGCAAAGGUAGCAUAAUCACUUGCCCAUUAAUUGUGGGCUAGUAUGAAAGGGUUAACGAAAUAAAGACUGUCUCAAUUAAUCACCUAAAAACUAUUCUCUACUCGAAGAAAGGUAGAUCCUCUCGAAGGACAAGAAGACCCUAUAGAGCUUAAUUUUACUUAUAGGUCACAUUACUAUAAAAAUAUUCGGUUGGGGCGACCCAGGGCUAAUUAAUCACCCACAAAAAAAAAGAUAUAUAAAUCAAAUAAAUGACCCUCAUAGAUCAAAAGACCAAGCUACCUUAGGGAUAACAGGCUAAUCCCACUUAAGAGUCCUUAUCAACAGUGGGGUUUGGCACCUCGAUGUUGGCUUAGGGUAUCUAUAUAGCGCAAAAGUCAUAUAAAGAUGGUUUGUUCAACCAGUAAUUCCCUACAUGAGCUGAGUUCAGACCGGCGUAAGCCAGGUUAGCUUCUAUCCUCGAUUAUAACACCCUAUUCACAGUACGAAAGGACCCGAAUAAGAUAAUAAUUUAUACAAAAGAAUACAUAUAAUUUUAUAUCAACAAACCUACACUACAUACUAUA